GGGUCUACCCAUUGGUCAGGCUUAAUUGUCUGCACUGGUGAGAUGGAUCUCUACCUUCUGAGGAACUUUCAUGCCAUUCAUUUGGUGGGAUGGGAAAUCAGGACUGUUACUUUGAAAAAAUUAGAGUGUUUAAAGCAGACUUUCGUCUGAAUACAUUAGCAUGGAAUAAUGAAAUAGGACGGACUGAUUCUAUUUCGUUGGUUUCUAGGAUCACCGUA
rnacentral:rRNA from 1 species